rnacentral:rRNA from 1 species
GAUGAACGCUGGCGGCGUGCCUAAUACAUGCAAGUCGAGCGAACAGAUGAGGAGCUUGCUCCUCUGACGUUAGCGGCGGACGGGUGAGUAACACGUGGAUAACCUACCUAUAAGACUGGGAUAACUUCAGGAAACCGGAGCUAAUACCGGAUAAUAUAUUGAACCGCAUGGUUCAAUAGUGAAAGACGGUUUUGCUGUCACUUAUAGAUGGAUCCGCGCCGCAUUAGCUAGUUGGUAAGGUAACGGCUUACCAAGGCAACGAUGCGUAGCCGACCUGAGAGGGUGAUCAGCCACACUGGAACUGAGACACGGUCCAGACUCCUACGGGAGGCAGCAGUAGGGAAUCUUCCGCAAUGGGCGAAAGCCUGACGGAGCAACGCCGCGUGAGUGAUGAAGGUCUUCGGAUCGUAAAACUCUGUUAGUAGGGAAGAACAAAUGUGUAAGUAACUAUGCACGUCUUGACGGUACCUAAUCAGAAAGCCACGGCUAACUACGUG